CCCAGAAGCGGGGGAUAACACCUGGAAACAGAUGCUAAUACCGCAUAACAACUUGGACCGCAUGGUCCGAGUUUGAAAGAUGGCUUCGGCUAUCACUUUUGGAUGGUCCCGCGGCGUAUUAGCUAGAUGGUGGGGUAACGGCUCACCAUGGCAAUGAUACGUAGCCGACCUGAGAGGGUAAUCGGCCACAUUGGGACUGAGACACGGCCCAAACUCCUACGGGAGGCAGCAGUAGGGAAUCUUCCACAAUGGACGAAAGUCUGAUGGAGCAACGCCGCGUGAGUGAAGAAGGGUUUCGGCUCGUAAAACUCUGUUGUUAAAGAAGAACAUAUCUGAGAGUAACUGUUCAGGUAUUGACGGUAUUUAACCAGAAAGCCACGGCUAACUACGUGCCAGCAGCCGCGGUAAUACGUAGGUGGCAAGCGUUGUCCGGAUUUAUUGGGCGUAAAGCGAGCGCAGGCGGUUUUUUAAGUCUGAUGUGAAAGCCUUCGGCUCAACCGAAGAAGUGCAUCGGAAACUGGGAAACUUGAGUGCAGAAGAGGACAGUGGAACUCCAUGUGUAGCGGUGAAAUGCGUAGAUAUAUGGAAGAACACCAGUGGCGAAGGCGGCUGUCUGGUCUGUAACUGACGCUGAGGCUCGAAAGUAUGGGUAGCAAACAGGAUUAGAUACCCUGGUAGUCCAUACCGUAAACGAUGAAUGCUAAGUGUUGGAGGGUUUCCGCCCUUCAGUGCUGCAGCUAACGCAUUAAGCAUUCCGCCUGGGGAGUACGGCCGCAAGGCUGAAACUCAAAGGAAUUGACGGGGGCCCGCACAAGCGGUGGAGCAUGUGGUUUAAUUCGAAGCUACGCGAAGAACCUUACCAGGUCUUGACAUACUAUGCAAAUCUAAGAGAUUAGACGUUCCCUUCGGGGACAUGGAUACAGGUGGUGCAUGGUUGUCGUCAGCUCGUGUCGUGAGAUGUUGGGUUAAGUCCCGCAACGAGCGCAACCCUUAUUAUCAGUUGCCAGCAUUAAGUUGGGCACUCUGGUGAGACUGCCGGUGACAAACCGGAGGAAGGUGGGGAUGACGUCAAAUCAUCAUGCCCCUUAUGACCUGGGCUACACACGUGCUACAAUGGAUGGUACAACGAGUUGCGAACUCGCGAGAGUAAGCUAAUCUCUUAAAGCCAUUCUCAGUUCGGAUUGUAGGCUGCAACUCGCCUACAUGAAGUCGGAAUCGCUAGUAAUCGCGGAUCAGCAUGCCGCGGUGAAUACGUUCCCGGGCCUUGUACACACCG
rnacentral:rRNA from 2 species